rnacentral:lncRNA from 1 species
UGAGAAUUUGUUGAAAAUCACAGUUAUACGGUCUUUUUUUCUAAACACCUUCAGAUAUUGCGCUGAUUUUUGGUAUGUGAGUUAACCAUGAUGAGUUACAGGUCAAGUUAAAGUUUAGUUCUGCUCUGCUAAUUUUUGCUGAAAUUACGGGCUUUGGACUUUGAUAAAUUAUUGAAAAUCACAGUUAUACAUUUUUUUUUCUAUACGCCACCAGAUUUUGAGCUGAUGUUUGAUAUGUGAGAGUACCAUCAUGUUUGUGUCUACAUGUGUUUAU